rnacentral:lncRNA from 1 species
UAUAAGGGAGUGGCUAGUCAUGCCCUGUCAGUUUGGAAGGAGUGCCCCAAGAUGUCCGAUUUGCUCAUUCGAGCCCUGAGCGAGUUUCACUCCAUCGUCAAUCUCACUUCUCAACUAGCGAGCGAAGUAAGGAGUGCGAAUUUGCUCCUUCCUCUUCUCUUUCACUUUCUUUUUUCUUGCAACACUCGUCCGUGAGCAGA